CGCAAUGCUGCUUGACUACCAUUGCUGGACCACAAACCAUGGCAUGUGAAUUGGAACGGGCCGUGUGCUGGAACAGAGAUGAAGUUGUUUACAGAUUACACUGUGGAGCCACGUAUUGGAAGCGUUCUUCCCUAGUCCCUCCAUGUUCCUCUAUUUCUCUUUCAGCCUCGUUCUUUUAUGUAUCUCAGGAUGACCAAAGGUUUCUCACCUGCUUAUCUUCUCCUACACACCGGGUGUUGGUCUUUGAACCCCCAACCUGAGACCAAGAUUGUAGACAUCACCAAAGGACCCUAAGGAAGAGACUCUUCCCUCCCUCCUCCGCUCCACUGGGAUUCCAACCUGCAUCCGCCCACCUCGGAACAGCUCUUCUCACUCCAGUAACUAAAGGGAAAGAUCUUCAAACCAAACUAUCCGCUCCGGAAGCGGAAGCGAGGCUCUUGAGACCCAACCGCAAAUAGGCCGUGCCAAUCUACGCCCGCUCCCAGGUCAGGACCGAGCAGAGUCUCCAGGGUCUUCCUCCCCCAGUACCGCUUGCCCGAAGGGAAGGCUGUGUCAGAUCGGUUCCUGCUGCUGCGAAGCCAUCUUUAGAACUAACUCUUCUUUUCCCCUAGGCAGUGUAGCCACGUGGUGACUAUUAUAUUAUUACCGGCGACUGGGGACGGAGAUAGCCAGAGACGCCCUUCCCUGGGGACAGAGCCGAGAUUCUAGCCCACACUAGUGCUCCUAGCACCCAGGAUUCCUGAGAACUGGGUGUGCUCCCACUCCUCAUCCUCCCUUGGAAGCCCAAGCCUGCAGGCCUCCGGUGAGGAGGCUGUGAGCAGGUUCCAGAAUGGGGGAGAAAAAAAGAUUCACACCUUGCCUCCUCUUGAGACAGGAAGAGUAGCCACACCUCCGUUCUCCAAUCGUCCCGUUUCUGUUUUAGGGCCUACCAAACUUUGGUUUUCCAUGUUCCUUUUGAUUCCUUCAAGUGGAAAUUGCAGAAUACCAAUAUACUGAUAUGUCUGUUUU